rnacentral:rRNA from 1 species
UCUAUGGAGAGUUUGAUCCUGGCUCAGGACGAACGCUGGCGGCGUGCUUAACACAUGCAAGUCGAGCGAUGAAGCACCUUCGGGUGUGAAUUAGCGGCGAACGGGUGAGGAACACGUGAGAAAUCUGCCUUCAACUCUGGGAUAACUCCGGGAAACCGGGGCUAAUACCGGAUAUGAAACCUGCGGGCAUCCGCGGGUUUGGAAAGUUUUUCGGUUGAAGAUGAUCUCGCGGCCUAUCAGCUUGUUGGUGAGGUAAUGGCUCACCAAGGCGACGACGGGUAGCCGGCCUGAGAGGGCGACCGGCCACACUGGGACUGAGACACGGCCCAGACUCCUACGGGAGGCAGCAGUGGGGAAUAUUGGGCAAUG